AGUUCGAUUAUGGCUCAGAUUGAACGCUGGCGGGAUGCUUUACAUGCAAGUCGAACGGCAGCACGGACUUCGGUCUGUGGCGAGUGGCGAACGGGUGAGUAAUGUAUCGGAACGUGCCUAGUAGUGGGGGGAUAACUACGCGAAAGCGUAGCUAAUACCGCAUACGCUCCUUCGGGGAAAGCGGGGACCUCGGGCCUCGCACUGUCAGAGCGGCCGAUAUCGGAUUAGCUAGUUGCGGGGUAACGGCUCACUAAGGCGACGAUCCGUAGCUGGUUUGAGAGGACGACCAGCCACACUGGGACCGGAGAUAUCGGCUCCAGACUCCUACGGAGGCAGCAGUGGGGAAUUUGACAAUGGGGGAAAAAUCCAGCCACUUCCGCGUGUGCGAUGAAGGCCUUCGGGUUGUAAAGCACUUUUGGCAGGAAGAAACGGCACGGGAUAAUACCUCGUGCAACUGACGGUACCUGCAGAAUAAGCACCGGCUAACUACGCCAGCAGCCGCGGUAAUACGUAGGUGCAAGCGUUAAUCGGAAUUCACGGGCGUAAAGCGUGCGCAGGCGGUUCGGAAAGAAAGAUGUGAAAUCCCAGAGCUUAACUUUGGAACUGCAUUUUUAACUACCGAGUUUAGAGUGUACGAGGGAGUGGAAUUCCGCGUGUAGCAGUGAAAUGCGUAGAUAUGCGGAGGAACAACGAUGGCGAAGGCAGCCUCCUGGGAUAACACUGACGCUCAUGCACGAAAGCGUGGGGAGCAAACAGGAUUAGAUACCCUGGUAGUCCACGCCCUAAACGAUGUCAACUAGCUGUUGGGGCCUUCGGGCCUUGCAGCGCAGCUAACGCGUGAAGCUGACCGCCUGGGGAGUACGGUCGCAAGAUUAAAACUCAAAGGAAUUGACGGGGACCUGCACAAGCGGUGGAUGAUGUGGAUUAAUUCGAUGCAACGCGAAAAACCUUACCUACCCUUGACAUGUCUGGAAUCCCGAAGAGAUUUGGGAGUGCUCGCAAGAGAACCGGAACACAGGUGCUGCAUGGCUGUCGUCAGCUCGUGUCGUGAGAUGUUGGGUUAAGUCCCGCAACGAGCGCAACCCUUUGUCAUUAUUGCUACGAAAGGGCACUCUAAUGAGACUGCUGCGACAAACCGAGGAAGGUGGGGAGACGUCAAGUCCCUCAUGGCCCUUAUGGUAGGGCUUCACACGUCAUACAAUGGUCGGGACAGAGGGUCGCCAACCCGCGAGGGGGAGCCAAUCCCAGAAACCCGAUCGUAGUCCGGAUCGUGUCUGUAACUCGACUGCGUGAAGUCGGAAUCGCUAGCAAUCGCGGAUCAGCAUGUCGCGGUGAAUACGUUCCCGGUCUUGUACACCGCCCGUCACACCAUGGGAGUGGGUUUUACCAGAAGUAGUUAGCUCAACCGUAAGGAGGGCGAUUACCACGGUAGGAUUCAUGCGACUGGGUGAAGUCGUAACAAGGUAG
rnacentral:rRNA from 1 species